ACGACGGGUAGCCGGCCUGAGAGGGCGACCGGCCACACUGGGACUGAGACACGGCCCAGACUCCUACGGGAGGCAGCAGUGGGGAAUAUUGGGCAAUGGAGGAAACUCUGACCCAGCGACGCCGCGUGCGGGAUGAAGGCCUUCGGGUUGUAAACCGCUUUCAUCAGGGAACAAGCGAAAGUGACGGUACCUGCAUAAGAAGCACCGGCUAACUAUGUGCCAGCAGCCGCGGUAAUACAUAGGGUGCAAGCGUUGUCCGGAAUUAUUGGGCGUAAAGAGCUCGUAUGUGGUUCGUCACGUCGGAUGUGAAACUCUGGGGCUUAACCCCAGACCUGCAUUCGAUACGGGCGAACUUGAGUAUG
rnacentral:rRNA from 1 species